GAUCAGUUAUGGCAUUUCAAGGCACUCUCAACUUUGUAAUCUUACUUGUUUUUAGCUAUGGAUUGGCAACUAGUAUAGCUACCUCCCCUAGCCAUUACGAUGUUACUGCCAUCAACCGGAGCACCUUUCCGGCAGGUUUCAUAUUCGGGACAGCUUCUUCGGCUUACCAGUACGAAGGUGCUGCAAAAGAAGAUGGAAGAGGACCAAGCAUAUGGGACACAUACACUCACACAUUUCCAGAUAAGAUAAAGGACGGCAGCAAUGGAGAUGUCGCUAUUGAUGCAUAUCACCGCUACAAGGAGGAUGUUGGCAUCAUGAAAGAUAUGGGUUUUGAUGCUUACAGAUUCUCCAUCUCGUGGUCUAGAUUGUUACCAAAUGGAACGCUAAGUGGGGGUGUGAAUAAGGAAGGAAUCAAAUACUAUAACAACCUCAUCAACGAGCUUCUAGCCAAUGGUCUAAAACCCUUUGUCACCCUCUUCCAUUGGGAUCUUCCUCAAGCUUUAGAAGAUGCAUACGGUGGAUUCUUAAGCCCUCAAAUUGUAGAUCAUUUCCAAGACUACGCAGAGCUAUGCUUUAAGGAAUUUGGUGAUAGAGUUAAGGACUGGAUCACAUUAAACGAGCCAUGGAGCUACGCCCGUGGUGGUUAUGUAAUCGGGACGUUUGCACCGUGCCGAUGUUCUGAUUGGCAAAACCUGAAUUGCACCGGUGGAGAUUCAGGAACAGAGCCAUAUUUGGCCUCACACUACCAGCUUCUAGCUCACGCAGCCGCCGUAAAGUCAUACAAAGAGAAGUAUCAGGCUGAGCAGAAAGGUGUGAUAGGGAUAACAAUACUUUCCCACUGGUUUGUGCCCUUUUCUGAUGCCAAGCACGAUAAAGAAGCUGCUCUACGAGCAUUGGAUUUUAUGUUUGGAUGGUAUAUGGAUCCCUUAACAUAUGGUGAAUAUCCGCACAGCAUGAGAUCUCUUGUCGGAGAUCGGUUACCGGAGUUCACGAAAGAGCAAUCCGAGAUGUUAAAAGGUUCAUUUGAUUUUCUAGGAUUGAAUUACUACACCGCUAACUAUGCUACUUACGCACCUGAACUCAAGAAUGCUGCAAACCCUAGCUACCUUACAGAUGCUAUCGCUAUUCUUUCCACCGAGCGUAAUGGUAUUCCUAUUGGUCCACAGUCUGCUUCAGAUUGGCUCUAUGUUUAUCCAGAAGGAAUUCGAGAACUUUUGCUUUACACGAAGGAAAAGUACAAUGAUCCACUUAUUUACAUCACUGAAAAUGGAAGGGAUGAGCACAACGAUCCCAAAUUAACACUUGAGGAAGCCCUAGCCGAUACUCACCGAAUCGACUUUUACUAUCAACAUCUUCAUUAUCUUCAUGAAGCGAUCAAGGAUGGCGUUAACGUGAAGGGAUAUUUCGCAUGGUCAUUGUUUGACAACUUCGAAUGGAAUAUGGGUUACAGUGUUAGGUUUGGCAUCAACUAUGUGGAUUACAAUGAUGGCCUCAAGAGAUACCCUAAACUGUCCGCACACUGGUUCAAGAAUUUUCUUGGAAACUAGUCAAGACUUUGGAUCCGGAUCUGUCACGCCAUACCUAAUAAUAUGAUUCAAUCAACAUAUAAGCUUUGUGUAAUAAUGUACCUAUUUGUUCCUUUCAAUAAAAAGACUAUACGCAGUUUAUGUGCGUUUCUUUGUGUAUGA